UACGGAGGGUGCGAGCGUUAAUCGGAAUUACUGGGCGUAAAGUGCACGUAGGUGGUCAGGCAAGUCGGGUGUGAAAGCCCUGGGCUCAACCUGGGAAUUGCAUUCGAAACUAUCUGACUCGAGUAUGGGAGAGGGAAGCGGAAUUUACGGUGUAGCGGUGAAAUGCGUAGAUAUCGGAAGGAACACCAGUGGCGAAGGCGGCUUCCUGGACUAAUACUGACACUGAGGUGCGAAAGCGUGGGGAGCAAACAGG
rnacentral:rRNA from 1 species